AUUAAUUAUUUUAAUUUUUCGAAUUUUUAAGAGUUAAUUUUAUUUUAUAUUAUAAUGUUUUAUAAUUAUGUUAAAAAUAAAAUUUGAAAUGAAAAGUUAUUCGUUUAAAAAUAUAUCUAAUUUAUUUAGAAAUUAAUUUAAUUAAUUUAUUAUUAAUUUAUUUAUUUAUUAUAUUAUUUAAUUAUUAAUAUUAAGAUUAAUCGGGAUAAUUUGAUUAAUUAAUUUAUAUAAUAGAUAAAUUUUUAUAAAAAUUGUAGGAUUAUAAUUUUUCUUUAUUUAAUUUGUAAUAAAAUAUUUUUUUAUAGAUAAAGAUUUAUUAAUUUAUUAAAUAUUUUAUAAAUAUAUAUUAUUAAAUAAUUUAAUAAUAGAAAUAAUGAUUAAAUAAGUAAAUUUUAAUUUAUAUGUGUGAUUAAUAAAAAUUUAAUUUAAAUGAAUUAGGCAAAAUAAUUUUUACCUGUUUAUUAAAAACAUGUUUAUUUGAAUUAAAUAAAUAAUUGUAUCUGCCCAUUGAUUAUUUUAAAGGCUAUAGUAUUUUAACUAUACAAAGGUAGCAUAAUAAAUAGUUUUUUAAUUGAAAACUAGAAUGAAUGAUUUGAUAAAAAUUAUCUUUAUUUAAAUUAUUAAUUGAAAUUUUUAUUUAAGUGAAAAAACUUAAAUUAAAAAAAAAGACGAUUAGACCCUAUAAAACUUUAUUAUUUUUAAUAAUUUAUUUUGUUAAUAAUAAAUUGGUUGGGGAAAUUUUUAAAUUAGUUAAUUUUUUAUUUUAUUAAUUAUUAUAAUAAAAUUAAUUGAUCUUUUAUUAAAGGAUUUAAGAAAAAGUUGCUUUAGGGAUAACAGCAUAAUUUUUU
rnacentral:rRNA from 1 species